GUUGUGAACUCGAAGAGUAGGGCGGGACACGUGGUAUCCUGUCUGAAUAUGGGGGGACCAUCCUCCAAGGCUAAAUACUCCUGACUGACCGAUAGUGAACCAGUACCGUGAGGGAAAGGCGAAAAGAACCCCGGCGAGGGGAGUGAAAAAGAACCUGAAACCGUGUACGUACAAGCAGUGGGAGCAUCCUUCGGGGUGUGACUGCGUACCUUUUGUAUAAUGGGUCAGCGACUUAUAUUCUGUAGCAAGGUUAACCGUAUAGGGGAGCCGAAGGGAAACCGAGUCUUAACUGGGCGUUAAGUUGCAGGGUAUAGACCCGAAACCCGGUGAUCUAGCCAUGGGCAGGUUGAAGGUUGGGUAACACUAACUGGAGGACCGAACCGACUAAUGUUGAAAAAUUAGCGGAUGACUUGUGGCUGGGGGUGAAAGGCCAAUCAAACCGGGAGAUAGCUGGUUCUCCCCGAAAGCUAUUUAGGUAGCGCCUCGUGAACUCAUCUUCGGGGGUAGAGCACUGUUUCGGCUAGGGGGUCAUCCCGACUUACCAACCCGAUGCAAACUGCGAAUACCGAAGAAUGUUAUCACGGGAGACACACGGCGGGUGCUAACGUCCGUCGUGAAGAGGGAAACAACCCAGACCGCCAGCUAAGGUCCCAAAGUCAUGGUUAAGUGGGAAACGAUGUGGGAAGGCACAGACAGCCAGGAUGUUGGCUUAGAAGCAGCCAUCAUUUAAAGAAAGCGUAAUAGCUCACUGGUCGAGUCGGCCUGCGCGGAAGAUGUAACGGGGCUAAACCAUGCACCGAAGCUGCGGCAGCGACACUAUGUGUUGUUGGGUAGGGGAGCGUUCUGUAAGCCGUUGAAGGUGGCCUGUGAGGGCUGCUGGAGGUAUCAGAAGUGCGAAUGCUGACAUAAGUAACGAUAAUGCGGGUGAAAAACCCGCACGCCGGAAGACCAAGGGUUCCUGUCCAACGUUAAUCGGGGCAGGGUGAGUCGACCCCUAAGGCGAGGCCGAAAGGCGUAGUCGAUGGGAAACAGGUUAAUAUUCCUGUACUUGGUGUUACUGCGAAGGGGGGACGGAGAAGGCUAUGUCGGCCGGGCGACGGUUGUCCCGGUUUAAGC
rnacentral:rRNA from 1 species